GCCCGGGUGGUGGAAUUGGUAGACACGCUAGAUUUAGGUUCUAGUGCCGCAAGGUGUGAAGGUUCAAGUCCUUUCCCGGGUACCA
rnacentral:tRNA from 1 species